UUUUGGAAAUGCAGUUUGAUGUCCACCUCAGCCAGUACCGGAGCAGGAGCCCAUCAAGUAACCCUGACUGGCCUUGAACUCACAGAGAUCUUACUGCCUCUGCUUUCCAAGUGCUGUGGUAAAGGGGUUGUCCCAUCAAGACCAGCCUUUACUUGAACACCUAUUACCAGGCCUUAUUACCCAGAGGGUUUUCUUCUCAAUUACUGAUUGAUUCUGAAUUUUAGUUUUUUUAAACAUGAAAGGGCUAAGUCCAAUGUUUUCUGAUCCUUGCUUCUGAGAGUUGGAUAGAGAGAGUGUGUUGAUGUCAAGGACAUACGAG
rnacentral:lncRNA from 1 species